rnacentral:rRNA from 1 species
CGGCGUGUCUAAGGCAUGCAAGUCGAACGAUUCACCUUCCUUCGGGAAGACUGUUUAGUGGCAAACGGGAGCGUAACACAUUGGUAACCUACCUCGAAGUCGUGAACAACUCUGGGAAACCAGAGCUAAUACACGAUAUUGAUGGGGGGACUUCGGUCAUUCCCAUUGAAAGCUCAGGCGCUUCGAGAGGGGCCUAUGUCCUAUCAGCUUGUUGGUGAGGUAAAGGCUCACCAAGGCAAUGACGGGUACCGGGCGUGAGAGCGUGGCCCGGCUCACUGGGACUGAGACACUGCCCAGACACCUACGGGUGGCUGCAGUCAAGAAUCUUCCGCAAUGGGGGCAACCCUGACGGAGCGACGCCGCGUGCAGGAUGAAGGCCUUCGGGUUGUAAACUGCUUUUAUUUGGGACGAACAAAUGACGGUACCAAAUGAAUAAGAGGUUGCUAACUCUGUGCCAGCAGCAGCGGUAAUACAGAGACCUCAAGCGUUAUCCGGAUUUAUUGGGCGUAAAGGGUCCGCAGGCGGUCCUAUAAGUCGUAUGUUAAAUCUUCAAGCUCAACUUGGAGACUGCGUGCGAAACUGUAGGACUAGAGACUGGAAGAGGUACACGGAAUUGCUGGUGUAGGGGUUAAAUCCGUUAAUAUCAGCAAGAACACCAAAGGCGAAGGCAGUGUACUGGUACAGUUCUGACGCUCAGGGACGAAAGCGUGGGUAGCGAAAGGGAUUAGAUACCCCUGUAGUCCACGCCCUAAACGAUGAAUGCUAGAUAUUGGGAGUAUCGACCCUCUCAGUGUCGGUUA